AUUUAAUUCAGUGCUAGAGGCUGGAAAUGUCGACCGUAUACGGUGCUUGAACGAGAAUUCAAUUGACCCCGUGCAAGUUUUAUUGCAUGAUACAACCGGGACAACUGCUUGGCAACGAAGUUGCGUACAAUAAAAUUGUUGUCGACUCUUGUGUCGACAUCACAUGUUGAAUGUGCUGCAUAUUUAAAGGGGCUUGGAUGAGCAUGCUGCAGUCGACAAAAGAAAUUUAGAUGUUAUUGAAACUAAAGCGGUGUAAACGUAGGGGAAAAGCGGGUAACACCGUCAAGGUGGGUAAGCCCGUCACCCCACUGAUUUUACCAGAAAACAGUUAUUUAGUAGCUUUUUGGCCACACACCUUAUUUGUUUUUACCAUGUUUACUAUUUUUGACGCGAAGAAAACAAACAAAUCAAACGCACAUGUUGGUUGUUGCGUCAACGGCGGAUGUAAUUUUUAGCCUCUGGAUGACAAAACAAGGACAGAAUUUUUUUUAAUCAAUCAAGUAUUUUUAUCUGUACUAUUCUUUAGUGCCAAGAUUCAUCGAAAGGUAAGUUUCAAUAAUUUUUCCAUUACGACGAGCUUUUUUCGACGGUUUUUAAAACAACGCGGUUUUUUUAGGGGCUUCACUUCAGUGUAAGUCAUUUGUCUGCUUUUUGAUGUUCUAGCAAUCGUUUCUGUUUCCACGUCUCGUGCAUAGUGCUUGCUCCGUUAUUUCGCCAAUCUUCGUGUGAUUUCUACAACCUGUUCAUGCUGAGGAAGAGGACUUCCAGAAGGAACUUCUGGAUAAUUUGCAGAGGAAACUCCUGCAAGAUUCCCAAAAGCAACUCCCGGAGGACUCCCAGAAGCUCGCAGGCCAUCGCUCCGAGCUACGAAGAAUUCCGUGUCUGUGUCUCCAAAUCCUACGAACCCAUACCGUGUGUGGUCAUCUAGUGUGCUUGCCUCGAAUCCAACGCCAGCGUGUACAGCAGUGAAGCUUGUGACUGACUGAGCAUGCCGAAUCCUUCUUGUGAGUACAGUUUUAUGGUGAGGCAAUGGCUCGGGAGUGGCAGGAUGUGGCUUCGGAAGAACCCUACUUUAACGGGACGACUCACCAUCCAACGGCCAACCAGUCAUCGAAGCACCAAAACUGCAUGCGGGAACUCGGAAGAUAGGUGCCAGGACCUUUCCGAAACGGAAUUCGGCGAUUAGGAACCACACACAAUUCUUUACUACACUACACUUUAUUAAUCAUUAAAGUACACUGCACUCUAUUUGCGACUGUACGGUUUAUUAAAACUUCUCUCUUCAAGCUUCUGACACAGA